UCGCUGCCAUCAGCCGCUGCCCUCCGCCCUGGACUCGGGCUGCGCCGACCCCAGUUGCAGACGGGAAGCGAGCAGCCCGGGGUCAGCGAGUGGGCGUCGCGGUGACCCGGCCUGGUUCCGGCUCGGCCUCUGCCCCGCGUACCGUCCAGUCUGUACCAGGCCCUGGAACUCAGCUUCUUUAACUUUAGUCCCUGAGAUUCUCAGCCAGAGAAAUUCGAGAAGAGAAAUGUGUACUCAGUGUAUGCUGCCUGCACGGCUAUUUCUAGUUCUAGGGGGGAUGGAAAGAACACAAGUGUAGGAAGAGAGAAACGGUCGCAGAGAUUAGGACGAAGUAAUGUACACCAAAUUAUCAGCCCAUUUGAUGUGAUAUAUAGAGUUUAACAACCACGUGGCUCUUUUUUCCUGUUGACCUGGUAAGUGUAUUAAUUUCCGAGGAAGGGGAAAGUACCCCUGCUGUGCAGGGGCAGUAGGUAGGGAAGGUCAGUGGGGGAAGUGUUGGGCUAGUAGCCGACUUCUUGGGCCUCAGUUUCUUAUUCUGUACAACUAGGAGAAUUGACCAGAGCGGGAGUCAGAAACUCAGUGGCCUCCAGGGGCCUGGCGGGUGAUGUAAAUAGGUAAACUGGGCCCAGCAAAGCAAGAGGGGAAUGCAUGCCCUGCUGUAGGCAUUAAAAUUAAAUGGUUUUUAACCAAACCAAAAUGUCUUUGGGCCCUGGCCCUAGGGAUCUCAGGAUGAGGUGUUCCCCGAGUCUGGAGUGACACUGCUGACCUGUCCGAGGUGAUCAGGUCCCAUCACUCUCCUGCAUAACAUGCUCCAAUGGCUUUCUUUUAGGCUCAGGGUAAAGUCUUUGCCCCUGUCCUGCAGACCCACCCAUCUCUUGGACCGAAUCUCCCACCACCCAGUGCUCUGUUUUAACCCCAGCUGCAUCACGCAGGCUUCCUUGAACACCUGGCUUCCACUCCCACCGCCUGCCUUACCCUCGCUCUUCCCUCUGCCUGAACCUGUCUGUGGCUGUGCCUCGACCUCUCCCCCUGCCCCUCAGUGUUUGUUUUCUCUUCUAGAUUGUUGGGGUCACUGAGGAGAGUGAUUGCGCCUGAGAGCCCAGGCCCCACCACACGCAGUCCUUCUGUGCCCAGAGUUCACUGCAGACCCUCCUCUUGGCAGCAUCCGGAGAGAAAAAUACCCAUCUUCUAGAAUAUGGCAGCCUCUGGGAUGACCACCAGGACAUAGUAGGUGCUCAAUAAAUAGAUAUUGAGUGAAUGAGCCCCAAGAGUUACAACGGUUAAAGAUUCAGCACGACGCACAGCCGUCCCAUUCUGUGACAUCUCUUUAUUUCAACAAAAGAUGAAAAUCCUUUCAUUUCAGAACAUACACGUUCGCGUUAUUUCACACGUCGCGUUGUCCAUUAGGGUUUGUCAGCCUUGGCACUGCUGACCUCUGGGGCUAGAUCGCCCCAGGUCAGUUGUGGGACCUGUCUGUACCUGUAGGAUGUUUAGCAGCAGCCUUGGGCUCUGUCUCCCGUAUGCCAGCCUUGCCUCCCUCUGGAAGUGACAGCCAGAAACGUCUCCAGACCUCGUGAAAUAGCCCCUGGGAGGCAACACUCUCCCCAGAUCGUGUGUAUCCCUUUUCCUUUUAAGUCACCAAGUAGAGCUCCUUUAUGACAGAUGAGUCUGAGAGGUUAAAGUAAAACUGUUAAUCAUUAAUUUCACUUGUGGGAUUCAACCUUUACACUCAGCUGAAUGCCCCAGAGCUGUUUGCUUCCAACUGACGUUUAUGUUUUCUCCUUAAGGGCCUAAACAGAAUAAUAUAAAUCAAGAGUUGAAACAUUUUGGUCUCAGACGUUCCCAGGGAAGGUUUAAACAAAUCCCCACAGCUGCCUUCGGUACCUAAGCUCACAGAAUCUUCUGAACGAGGAAAGUACUGCUUCAGAGGCUGUUGGUGUUACACGGCCAGGCCCUGUAACGCUGGUCUUCUUAGAGCCUCUUGCCCUCAGCCUCCCCCCAAAAGCGGGGCUUGAUGCAGGCUCUGCCUCUCCCAUGGGACUAGGAAUCUGAUAUUUGAUGUCUUAAGUGUCAGUUUUUGAUGGAGGGGAAGGAAGCAGAGCUGUGUGUCAGUGGAUGAUGCCUUCCAACAAAGGGUUAGCACAAAAGAUCAGUCACGGUAGUUUCUUAUGAUAUUAGGCAACACAGCUAAAACUUACGGAGGAUAACCAAAACAGAUUGGGCUUUUAAGGAACUCAGUUGUGUUACUCUUGAGGAAUUGUAACUUGAUUCGUCGUAUAUUUGUGUGUUAGUAAACUCAAGUAAUGAUGAACUAUGACAUAGUUAGAUUUUUCUUAAAUGCUCAUUGUUUUAAACGUGUCACCCAUAAAAAGCGUUGGUCUUUCUCGCUUAGCUUCAGCCAUGGUGGUGCAGCUACAUGUUUCAUUGUCGUCUUAGUCCUUGUUGCAUUUUGACAAAGAGGAAUUGUUCUUCAAGAGAAAUGGUUUCUUGUUCGGAUUUAGGUAAGAAAGUGCUCAUCGUCUACGCGCACCAAGAGCCCAGGUCUUUCAACGGGUCCCUGAAGGAUGUGGCGGUUGCAGAACUGAGCCGGCAGGGCUGCACCGUCACCGUUUCUGAUCUCUAUGCCAUGGACUUUGAGCCUAGGGCCACGAGGAAAGAUAUCACUGGCGCCCUCUCCAGCCCCGAGUUCUUCAGCUACGGUGUGGAAGCGUACGAGGCCUGCAAGAAGAGGUCUCUGACCAGCGACAUAAUCGCGGAGCAGAAGAAGGUCCAGGAGGCCGACCUAGUGAUGUUUCAGUUCCCGCUGUACUGGUUCAGCGUGCCGGCUGUCCUGAAGGGCUGGAUGGACAGGGUGCUGUGCCAGGGCUUUGCCUUCGACAUCCCGGGAUUCUACGACGACGGCCUCCUCAAGGGUAAACUGGCCAUCCUGUCCAUAACCACGGGCGGCACGGCCGACAUGUACUGUAAAACUGGAGCCAGCGGAGACUUCCGAUACUUCCUGUGGCCCCUCCAGCACGGCACGCUGCACUUCUGUGGAUUUAAAGUCCUUGCCCCUCAUAUCAGUUUUGCUCCUGAAUAUGCAUCAGAAGAAGAAAGAAAGGGGAUGGUGGCCUCCUGGGCGCAGAGGCUGAAGACCAUCUGGAACGAGGAGCCCAUCCCCUGCUCACCCCCCUGGUACUUCGGGCAGUGACCUCGGGGCCACGCUGGGAGGUGCUGGUGUGUGUAAUAAACGACGGCACAACAGAGCAGCAGGCUUCUCUCACCUGUGAGAUUUCUCAGAGAUUCUUGGCUUUGAUGACCUUGAGGGUUUUGAAGAAUACUGGUCAGGUAUACCGGUUGUCCCUCUACUGGAAUGUGCCUGACUUUUUCCUCAUGAUUCGUCUGGAGUUAUGGUUUUGGGGAGAAAGCUCACAGAGGGAAAGUGCUAUUUUCAUCACAUCAUAUCAAGGACACAUACUAUCAAUACGGUUUAUGAUGGUUGAUGUUGAACUUGAUCUGAUCAGCUGGCUGAAGCAGUUGUAUUGUUUCCCCCUUUCCAUGCUGUGUGAUUUGGAAAGAAGUCACUUUGUGGAGCCCACACUUAAAGAGUGGGAGUUAUACUCCAACUCGCUUAGACUGGAAUACAUACAUAAUUUAUUUGGAAUUCUGCGUAGGAGAUCUGUUUCCCCUCCAUUUAUUUAUUCAGUCACUUAUCUGUAUCAAUAUGCACUCAUGGAUAUGAUUUUCUACUUUAGGUUAUAAUCCAGUGCUACGUUUUAAGUUAUCUUGCUCAUUGUCUUCUAACUUUGGCCAUUGGGAACUCUUUUAGAAACAAGAUCUGGUCACUAGGUGUGCUGGUUGCUAUGGUACAGUGUGAUUUCUUCCAGGCUCCCUUAGCUGGCAGAGCAAAGAAAUGUAUGUGUGCCACCAACUCAUGUAUAUACAUAUAUGUGUAAAUAUUUUUAUAUGUAGCCAUCUGUAUCUACAUUGUUUUACCAUCAUCAACUCUGUCACUUACACGUGGAUUAUUCUAGCCUCCUCCCCUUUCUAAUCUGUAAAUUCCCAUUCUAAUGACAAGAACCCUGGCUUUUACCAUCCACUACUCAAUUGUUCAGGUCCAGCAAACACGUAUGGCAGUGUCAGAAUUGUUAACAUGUGUACCGUGGGAAUCAACUUCAUCAAUUAGAGCAUCGUCCCGUGUGCAGUUCCUUUUGCCUUUAGCCUAUGGACUCCAAAGUGACUGAAGUCCCUUCCCCCUGCCCCCACUCUCCUUGGGGUGGUUGUUUCAUACUUUUGUAAUACAAUUAGACUCCCUUGUCACAGUCUACAUUUUUUCCUGGAAUCUCCAGACCUCCUAAAUUAUUAUUUUUCUAAAUCACAUACAUUAAAGUUCACUCUUCGUGUAGUAAAGUUUUAUGGGUUUUGACAAAUGUCUGGUAUUAUGUAUCUACUAUUACAGUAUCAUAGAAUAGUUUCGCUGUGCUAAAAUUCCCUGUGCUUCAACUAUUCAUCCCUCCCCUCCAUACCCACACCUCUGACCACCACUGAUUUUUUUUUUUUUAACCACUGAUCUUUUUUUGUAUGUAUAGUUUGCCUUUUCCAAAAUGUCAUAGAAUUGGAAUCAAACAACAUGUAGCCUUUUCAGACUGGCUUCUUUUACGGAGAAAUAUGCAUUUAAGUUUCCUCCAUGUGUUUCUGUGGCUUGAUAGCUCAUUUCUUCUUAUUGCUGAAUAAUAUUGCAUGUAUGUACCAUAGUUUAUCCUUCAUCUAUUAAAGGACAUCUUGGUUGCUUUCAGUUUUGGGCAGUUAUGGACAAAGCUGCUAUAAACAUCCAUGUUCAGGUUUUUGUGUGGACAUGAGUUUUCAGUUCAUUUGGGUAAAUAAGUAGGAGUAUAAUUGAUGGAUCACAGGUAAGACUGUGUUUCGCUUUUUAAGAAAGUGCCGAACUUUCUUGCACAGUGGCUGCACCAUUUUACAUUCCUAACAGCAGUGAAAAAGCUACUUAUUUUCCAUAUCCUCUCCAGCAAUUGGUAUUUUUGUGUUUUGUUUCUGAUUUUAGCCAUUCUAAAAGGUGUGUAGUGAUGACAAUAAGUAAACAACUCAUUGUUGCUUUAAUUUGUAAUUCCCUGAUGACAAAUGACGUUAAGCGCCUUUUCAUGUUUUUUGCCAUCUGUAUAUUGUUUUCGGUGAGCUGUCCAGAUAUUUUGCCCAUUUUUAAUAGAGUUGUUUGUUUUUGUAUUGUUGAGUUUUAAGAGUUUUUAAAGAAUAUUUGAAUACAAA